UUUUUUAAUUUUGGGUGUAACUUUUUGUUAAUUUUUUUAAUAAAAAACUUGACAUGCAUUUUAAGUGAGUAGCAAAUCAUUUUUUCCAUAAUUGUAUGUGUAUCAUAUGAACUUAAAGUAUGUGUAAUAUCAAUAUAAAUAUUUUAUAUAAAAUGAGAAAUAUAAACUAGAAAUAUAAGGUUAACUAGACCUUGACCCGCGCGCCCGCGCGGGUGUUCGUUUUCGGUUUGAAUUGUUCGUUUUCGGUUUAAAUUGUUAUUAUGUUUAUUAUAGAUUAUGUAAUUGUUAUAUUAAAUAUCUUAUAUUAUAUGGUGAUGUAAAAAAUGUUAAUGAUGAAUUACAUUAGUUAUUUAUAUCUAAAUGGUUGAAACAGAUUUUUGUUAGUCAUAUAGUUUGUGUGUGGUAGUUUGUUAAUUUUAUAGUCAAUAAAAAAAUAUUUGAUAAAUUACUAUACUCAUUCACUUGCAUGAGGUAAAAUAUUAUGUUUUAAUAUUUAUAAAUGCAUAAGUACAUAUUUGAUUAUUAACAUUAUUUAGUUAUAGAUAAAAUAUAGUUUGACAGAAUUUAUGUAUAUCAUUAAAAUCGAUCUCCAUGGUUUUAAAAAAUAUGUACAUAUUUAGAACCUAAAUUCGAUAAUAUAUAGUUGUAAUCCAAAUAUAUAUCUAAUCUAUUAUAUGGGCUUAUAAAUUGCUGAUGAUAAACAUUUAAGAGAAAAGUUUAAUAACAAAAGCCCAAUUAGAUAUCUAACAACUUUACGCAGGAAAAAAACCAGUUAGAAGACCAAAAAAAAACUCUCUCAUCGAAAGAAAAGCCAAACAGAGGGAUAUAUUCGGCGAGUUCAACAGGAGAAGGUCAGACGGUUUAUUAGGGAUUUUGAAUUAGAAGAUGUUAUGAAUGGAUUAAUGGACAGUAUCAAGUUUUCUUGAUUGAGUACGAAAUCGAGACAUAGCCGAAGCAAAAGUGAACAUGCAAUACAUCAAUUGAAGAAACGUCGGAUGCGGCUGUGGUGAUGUUUUGUGAUAAGAGUUGAGUUAUAAUUGUGAUCGAGAUCGAGAGGAGAGCAGAUCCGUAAACACCAAAGGGGAAGCCGACAUGAAAAAAAAAAGAUAAGUUCUUUAUUAUUCAGACUCAAAAUACCUGUGAGUUGUAAAGUACUUAGAGAUUGUUUAGAUUGCUUGAUUUUUAUAUACCCUUGUAAAGAUAAUAAGAUGAUUGAUAUUAGUAAAGUAAACGUCUUGACUGAGAUUUUUUAUUUACUUGAACAUAAUAUAUCGUUUGCAGGUAAUAGAAUUCAGUUUUUUGAAGAUAUUCUCAAAGAUUACAAUGAAGCUGACGACAGAGCGGGUUAAAAAGGGUCAAGAUGCUAAAGGCACGAAGAACAUGGAAGUCAGGGUUAGUGCCGACCAUCCAUAAUGAAAUAACAGAGGUAACUUUUCAAACUUACAUGAUGGAGAUCGGAAACAGUUUUGCUGCUUUGAUGUACUUGAAAGUUGUUUUGAAUCAAAAUCUCGGCCUGGAUCAAUAUAUAAACAAAACAGUUUGAUGUUAGGAAUAGAAUUUAAAUCAAUUAGAUUUAAAGUGUAUAAGCAUUCACCAAAACAGAAACAUUACAUGUGUUAUUUUUGUUUAUAUGAUCGACUGAUAGACCAAUUGAUUUAGGCAUCUGUGGCUGCAGGACUUGAGCUAAACCAAAGACAAUAACAUGUUUUUGUUUCAAUGUCUCAAAUCAAGGCAACGUUAUUAACCAUACAAUGCAACAGGUAAAUGAUUAUAACUUACAUGUUAAAUACGUCAAACAGCUGUUCUGUUUUGGGGAAUGUGACGUUUGGUUACGGAAAGUAUCAAGUCCUAAAAAGAGUUUAAAACCAGGAAGUUGCAUGUUAGAAUCUGUAGCAAAAUUCAAUCUAUACAAAAUGUCAAAUCGUCUUAGAUGCUACACUCACCAAGUUGCAAUCUCCGUAUAUUUCUUGGUGUCUGGGGUGAUAGCAUGCUGAUUUGCUGGUAUAUGGAAGGUGUAUUAAAUGGAACAAUCUGAUUUUCAAGACCCUCAAACAGUCUGUAAUAUACUGAUCGCAAUGGAAUGUCUGCAUAUGUGAUUGAAUUUGUGCAAAACUGUCUUGCAUAGCUGAAUGUUUGCUUAUCUUUGCCGGUCUCUGUAGUGAAAUAUUUAUUAGUUCGAUCUCCAUUGUCGUUCACAGUUUUCUUCCUCUUCAUAGUUAGACCUCUUAAUAGUGUUUUCAGAACAUUUAGGAUUUAAUCGAGGAAUAGAGAGGAAGAAGGAGUCGGCAAAAACGUUUAUGUUUUUGGGGAUAAAAUCCUAAAUGUGAUUUUUAAUAACCUAAGAAUUAGGAUUUUUGUUAUUUUACCUGCUUAUAAAUAUAGGAAGUAAAUAUAUUAGUUAAUAUUCUGGAAUCACAAUUUUAUAUAAUUGAUAUAUUUAUUUCUAAAAAUAAAUAAUAAAUAUCCAUAAAACGUGUUCCUUUGAUAUAUAGCUAUUAACUAAUAGUUUAUUAAUUAUUCAUUUUUGGUUUUGUUGUGAUAGAUCCUACGUACCAAACUAACAUGUUUACCUUUUUACAAACAGGUGGAAGAACAAAGGACCAAGGAAUAUAUAUUUCUGUUUCAUCUAGUACCAUAAGAUCGUUAAGUAUCAUAAGGUAUGUUUUUUUAAUGAAGCUAUAUAUAUAUAGUUAGAAAGUGCUAGGACUGACAGGGGAACUGUUUUGUUUUAUUGAUAGUGAAAUUGGUUAGUUAUACGAAGGUUUUGUGUUAUAUUUACUUAACAUAUGAAAUUGAAAAACAUUAAAAAUCAUCUAUUAUUUAAGAAAAUGACAAUACUCUUAUUAAAAUUUGUGGAAUAACGAAAAAAUCAUAAAACAAAUUAUUAAUUUUGAAUAGAAAAAUGCAAAAAAAAAGGUUAAAACAAAUAAAAAACCAACAUAA